GGUGGCUUAGUGGUAGAGUGCUUGCCUUGCAUGCAGGGGGCCCUGGGUUCAAUUCCUCAGCACCA
rnacentral:tRNA from 1 species